UCGAGAACAGAUCCCCUCUCAGCCACAAGAUCCCCUACCCCCACAAGAUGUGAUUUUGGUGUACAAUUGAGACAGCUUGCGGGUUUCCUUUGCUUGUUGUUUCUGCCUGUAUCAGAAAUGUGUGCUUAAGCUCUGAGAUUUAACUAUACAACAUAAUAUUGCGUGAGACUUGUUAUGAAUCAGAGCUCUAGUUGCUUAAGUCUCUGGAUGAAAAAGCUCUUUCAGCUCAGACAUACUUUGUCUUUCAACAUUUAUCUUUCAACAUGAGACGUGAGAAGUGACUGAGUGGGCUACAGGAGAACAGACUUAUUUUUGAGGCCUUCCACAUGGCGCCUAUCUCUUCUAAAGAACAGAGGUGACUGAGAUUGGGCAAAGCAGAACAGCUGAGAGAAUCAGACUGUACCUGACAAUUUGCUGGAACUGAUAGCAGAAAAUUAUACCAACAUGAAAAAUGCCCACGUUCUCAACAGAACUCAUUCUCACGACGGAAAAAGUAGCAGAUGUUAUUUCAAAUAAAUGCUUUCAAAUCCA